AAGUAUUAAAGGUAACGCCUGCCCAGUGAGAAACUUUUCUUUAACGGCCGCGAGAUUCAACCGUGCGAAGGUAGCGAAAUCACUUGUCUCCUAAAUAGAGACCUGUAUGAAAGGCCCAAUGAGAAAGAAACUGUCUCUUGAAGUUAGCCAGUGAAACUGAUCUGCCCGUGCAAAAGCAGGCAUAACAAAACAAGACAAAAAGACCCUGUGAAACUUAAAAUAAACGCCAAUAACAUGUCGAUAUUUUUAGGUUGGGGCAACCAAAGAGAAACAAAACCUCUAAAAUAUAUUAGACUAACAAGUCCAACCAAACCAACAUGACCCAGUAAAACUGAUUAAUGAACCAAGCUACUCCAGGGAUAACAGCGCCAAAUUCUUGAAGAGUCCACAUCAACAAGAAUUCUUACGACCUCGAUGUUGGAUCAGGAUAACCCAACAGCGCAAAAGCUGCUAACGGUUCGUUUGUUCAACGAUUAACAUCCUACGCGAUCUGAGUUCAGACCGGAGC
rnacentral:rRNA from 1 species